rnacentral:rRNA from 1 species
CCUACGGGAGGCAGCAGUGAGGGAUAUUGCACAAUGGGCGAAAGCCUGAUGCAGCGACGCCGCGUGGGUGAAGAAGGCCUUCGGGUCGUAAAGCCCUUUUCCCACUGAAGAGGAAGGACGGUAAGUGGGGAAUAAGUCUCGGCUAACUACGUGC